rnacentral:tRNA from 1 species
GGGCACUUGGCACAGUUGGUAGCGCGCACGCUUCGCAUUGGAAUUGCGUGAGGUCGGGAGUUCGACUCUCCCAGUGUCCA